rnacentral:rRNA from 1 species
UAAUACAUGCAAGUCGAACGCGUUGGCCCAAUUGAUUGAUGGUGCUUGCACCUGAUUGAUUUUGGUCGCCAACGAGUGGCGGACGGGUGAGUAACACGUAGGUAACCUGCCCAGAAGCGGGGGACAACAUUUGGAAACAGAUGCUAAUACCGCAUAACAACGUUGUUCGCAUGAACAACGCUUAAAAGAUGGCUUCUCGCUAUCACUUCUGGAUGGACCUGCGGUGCAUUAGCUUGUUGGUGGGGUAACGGCCUACCAAGGCGAUGAUGCAUAGCCGAGUUGAGAGACUGAUCGGCCACAAUGGGACUGAGACACGGCCCAUACUCCUACGGGAGGCAGCAGUAGGGAAUCUUCCACAAUGGGCGCAAGCCUGAUGGAGCAACACCGCGUGAGUGAAGAAGGGUUUCGGCUCGUAAAGCUCUGUUGUUAAAGAAGAACACGUAUGAGAGUAACUGUUCAUACGUUGACGGUAUUUAACCAGAAAGUCACGGCUAACUACGUGCCAGCAGCCGCGGUAAUACGUAGGUGGCAAGCGUUAUCCGGAUUUAUUGGGCGUAAAGAGAGUGCAGGCGGUUUUCUAAGUCUGAUGUGAAAGCCUUCGGCUUAACCGGAGAAGUGCAUCGGAAACUGGAUAACUUGAGUGCAGAAGAGGGUAGUGGAACUCCAUGUGUAGCGGUGGAAUGCGUAGAUAUAUGGAAGAACACCAGUGGCGAAGGCGGCUACCUGGUCUGCAACUGACGCUGAGACUCGAAAGCAUGGGUAGCGAACAGGAUUAGAUACCCUGGUAGUCCAUGCCGUAAACGAUGAGUGCUAGGUGUUGGAGGGUUUCCGCCCUUCAGUGCCGGAGCUAACGCAUUAAGCACUCCGCCUGGGGAGUACGACCGCAAGGUUGAAACUCAAAGGAAUUGACGGGGGCCCGCACAAGCGGUGGAGCAUGUGGUUUAAUUCGAAGCUACGCGAAGAACCUUACCAGGUCUUGACAUCUUGCGCCAACCCUAGAGAUAGGGCGUUUCCUUCGGGAACGCAAUGACAGGUGGUGCAUGGUCGUCGUCAGCUCGUGUCGUGAGAUGUUGGGUUAAGUCCCGCAACGAGCGCAACCCUUGUUACUAGUUGCCAGCAUUAAGUUGGGCACUCUAGUGAGACUGCCGGUGACAAACCGGAGGAAGGUGGGGACGACGUCAGAUCAUCAUGCCCCUUAUGACCUGGGCUACACACGUGCUACGAUGGACGGUACAACGAGUCGCGAACUCGCGAGGGCAAGCAAAUC